GCUCCCUUAGCUCAGUUGGAUAGAGCAACGGCCUUCUAAGCCGUCGGUCACAGGUUCGAAUCCUGUAGGGGGCGCCA
rnacentral:tRNA from 7 species